ACAAAAAAUAGAUUAUAAUUUAGCUACGGGCUAAUCCCAAGGACAAAGAGUGUAAAGCAUUUUAUUAUCUUUCCUGUUGAAAUUGUAUAGUGCCCAUUAGGCACACUGGUAUAUGCCUGCAGAUCCCAGCUACUUAGGACAUUGAGGAAGAAGGAUCACAAGUUCAAAGCCAGCCUGGAAUCUACUGUGAAAUCCAAUUCCAUGGCCAACGAACAAUAGUAUGGUGUCCUUCACUUCAUUGUGGACGUUUUCCCCCCUCAGUUUUGACUUUCAUUUCAUGUACAAAAAAAGUCAUUCCUCCCCCCAAAAUGCUUGAGGCUCUUAUCAAGUUUUUGUGGUUGUUUCUGGUUCCUGUGUGUUCACACAGUCUCUUUCUUAUCUGUUUUCAGUGGGUGGCCUCUGUCUAAUCUUACUCCAAGCUGGAUAUUGCUUCCCUGGGCGUCACUGUGCCCUUUUACAAGACCAGGCUGGCCUUGGAUGCAGAGAUCAGCCUGCCUUUGCCUUCCAAGUGCUGGGAUUAAAGAUGUGCGCCGCUACCAGACAGCUGUGAAAAUGCUUCCUCGCUAUGAACGCCGUUGCUACGUGAUCGAGUCACCUAUAGGCAUGGGUGGAAUUUGACGUCAAGGGAUGGCAUUUUCACCAGGGUGGAGUAUGGACUGGAACUCGGAAGAAAGAUAUAGUUGGCUGGAUUGUCUUGACAAGGCUGGGCUUAGGCAGGGUGACUCGGUCUGCUGCCUGUGUCUGCCAUCCUUAUCUAAACCAAGUGGCAAGCCUGAAUGUGUUCCCAUAGCGAUGCCAAGAGCUUAAGAGAGCACGUCAAAUCCUGCACGGAUGACAUCAGUUCGUUCUUUCCAGAUGAAGAAAGCUCCGUUGUGCACAUAGGGCAUCUUCUAUAUGUAUUCUGCUAUUUUGAAUAGUAUAAUAAACACAGGUGUGCA